CAGGUAAUUGUUAACUAUAUACAUACAUAUAUAUAUAUAUAUAUAUAGAGAGAGAGAGAGAGAGAGAGAGAAUAGGGUCCUACUGAUGAUAAUAGAUUUAAUGAAUGAUAAUUAUAUAUGCAGGUUGUGUUUUACAAGAGACUUGCUGGAGUUUUCUUCACGGAUUCCAUUCCUAAAGCUCCAUCAGGCAAAAUCCUAAGAAAAGAAUUGAGAGCGAGAUUAGCAGCUGCUCUUCCCAAUUAAGACAAGCACAUAUUAAAAGCAAUUUUUUUUUUUUUUUUUUUUGUAUAAGCACUUCUUUUUUCUUCAUGGAGGCAAUACGCACACACAUAUAUAUACACACACACACAAAUUACUUUGCCCUUGAAAAAAAAUUGAUUAUGAAGCUCUAUGAGGAUCCCUUCGGGAGGCAAAGUGCUUAGCUAUUGUCCCUAUGUAUUUUAUAUCUACUAUGAUGAAGGUAAAUCUAUAGUUAAUAUUGUAAAAGGAUUUGUAGGAAAAGAAAAAGGUGCAAUUUUUUUGACCAUAAAAAUACAAAAGAUUUUUUUCUACGAACAUAUUAAUUAACCACCUAUACGGUGCCGUUCUGUUAGUUACAUUGGGCUCAUCUUUCUAUGAGCCUCAAGCCCAUAUAUGUACAACUAUUUGUGGGCUUUGUUUGAACCCACAGUUCAAUGGACUCCUAAUGUCAACUUUAUUAUGAUUAAAUUGUAUUUGGGGCAAAAAAUAAUUUUCUAAUUUUUUUUAUUUGUAUCUUCAGGUUUGAAACAGAAAAUAUUUCCUAAAAUAGAAAUAAAAAUUACAGUCUGGUUGAUCAACAAAAUAGAUAGAUAUAUAUAUAUAUAUAAACUAUUUCCUAUAAAACUACAAAGCAAAGGCUCCACUAAAAUGACAGGAGUGGUGACAUUUCAUCUUCCAUUAGCCAACGUGUCAAUAUCGAGGGGUGCCCUUUUGUCUGCCACCCUUCGUGGAACUUACUUUCUCUCUAACCUCUCUUCAAUUUUUACAAAUAUAUAUAUAUUAUAAACAUAUAAAUAUGUUUAAUAAUUAAACAACACAAUCAAUUUUCUAGUGAAAUAUAAAUGGAAUACCUAGUCUAAUUUUUAUCAUUCACAGGAAAACAAAGAUUAAUCAAUAAAGUUACUGCAAUAAUUUGACAAUAAUUAACAAUGAUUAAUUUAUAAAAUUAAUUAAUAAAGAAUUAAUGUCAUGCAUUAUAACUUUUCACUCUUCGUUUUUCAAUAAUUUGACUAUAAUUUUCAAAAAUAUUAUACGGUUUUUUAUAUACCAAUAUAGAAGGGUAGUUCAAAAGCUAGCUUCUAUAUAUUCACCAUUUG
rnacentral:lncRNA from 1 species